rnacentral:rRNA from 1 species
GUCCACGCCGUAAACGGUGGAUGCUGGAUGUGGGGACCAUUCCACGGUCUCCGUGUCGGAGCCAACGCGUUAAGCAUCCCGCCUGGGGAGUACGGCCGCAAAGGCUAAAACUCAAAGAAAUUGACGGGGGCCCGCACAAGCGGCGGAGCAUGCGGAUUAAUUCGAUGCAACGCGAAGAACCUUACCUGGGGCUUGACAUGUUCCCGACAGCCCCCAGAGAUGGGGGCCUCCCUUCGGGGGCGGGUUCACAGGUGGUGCAUGGUCGUCGU